rnacentral:rRNA from 1 species
UACGGGGGGGGCAAGCGUUGUUCGGAAUUACUGGGUGUAAAGCGCGCGUAGGCGGCUUUUCAAGUCAGACGUGAAAGCCUCAGGCUUAACCUGGGAACUGCGUUUGAUACUGUUAAGCUAGAGUGUGGAAGGGGCUACUGGAAUUCCGUGUGUAGCGGUGAAAUGCGUAGAUAUACGGAGGAACACCAGCGGCGAAGGCGGCGCUCUGGGCUGGAACUGACGCUGAGGAGCGAAAGCGUGGGGAGCGAACAGG